CAGCAGCCGCCGCGGGAAUACGGAGGGUGCAAGCGUUAUCCGGAUUUAUUGGGUUUAAAGGGUCCGUAGGCGGACUUAUAAGUCAGUGGUGAAAGCCUGUCGCUUAACGAUAGAACUGCCAUUGAUACUGUAAGUCUUGAGUAUAUUUGAGGUAGCUGGAAUAAGUAGUGUAGCGGUGAAAUGCAUAGAUAUUACUUAGAACACCAAUUGCGAAGGCAGGUUACCAAGAUAUAACUGACGCUGAGGGACGAAAGCGUGGGUAGCGAACAGGAUUAGAUACCCCAGUAGUCCCUGUCUCUUAUAC
rnacentral:rRNA from 1 species